GGAAGGUUUUGGAUUAUUACAGCGCUUCUUUCAGCUUCGAGGAAGGAAUAGUGGAGAUACCUAGUCGUGGUUUUGGAGCUCUGCUAAAAGCUAGUCACCAGCCCCAAACAGCCUCAGGCACCACUCCAAGGCUGGUGGGUUUCAAAGUGUAAAUUUUGCCUGUAUGUAAAUGUGUGUCAUUAUGCCUGUCAGUGUGUCAGUAUGUGUGUGUCAGUACAUCUGUCAGUGUAUGUCUGUGUGUGUGUCAAUAUGUCUGUGCAUGUAAGUAUGUCUCUCAGU